GAACAAUUAAGUCUUCAUUAUGUAAAAUUAUUCACACAUUGUGUCCGGUUAUAACUAUUAUUUUUUUAUAAGCAAAUAGUAUGAAUGUACUACGAGAAGUAGUAUUCAAUUCUUUCUAGCUUUAAACACCAAUCGCGAUCAAAUAAUUUUAAAUAGGAUAUGAGUUACAGGGAUUUAAAACAGAAAAAGCAUGUGAAAUUAUCUAGCAUUUAAUGGAUUAAUAGAUCAGAGAUUAGUUCGUUCAAUGAAAAAAUAAUACAGUGGCAGAUUCCUUUUCUGACGAAUGCAAGUUUUUCAAUGCAUAUACCUGAGGUAUCAGAAUACCAAAGCAGAAUGUAAACACCAGCACAAAACGAACACAUCUGUCGCAAAGUUUAUGAUAUGGCCAUAUUCCUGAGAUCUUCAAGUAUAAUCUGAGAACAUUAUAAUACUUAUUAUGCAAAAUAGCAUUUUUGCCCUUCAUCUUCGAGGAUAUCAAGAUUAAUACGGGAAAUAAGAAUAAGAGAUCUCUUUUGCAAUAAUAAUGUAUUAAGCCAUGGCACAUAGAAAAUUUGAUCAAUAAAAUAUAAGUAAGAAAAGCGAUCUAUCAUAGACGGUUCCUACGGUUCCUCAACCAUAAGAAGAAUAAUCGGAUAUGAUUGGUCAAUUAAAUUAAGUUUUACUGCUUGAGUUUUUCUGUGUUACAGUCCUAUGUGAAUUAGUUUCUGUGUUACAGUCCUAUGUGAAUUAGUGUCGAGCAAAGCUCUUAGAGAAUGUUCUUAAAAAGAGAGAACUAUAUAUUUCUUCCGAAAUGAAAAAUAACAAACGAUGUGAAUAUGUGAGAUACUACUUGUAAAUUGAACAUGUGGAUUUCUACAAGUUCUGUAAUGUGUAUGUGUAACUUACAUUCUUACUUUAAGUUCUCUAAUAUCAAUUCGGAAAGGAAAUAACAAAUUCAGAAACAUAUAAGAUACUACUAGAUCUAUGUAAUUUAAUACAACUUAAGUUCUAUAAACUUCAAUAUUCAUCGAAACGUUGAAUGAAACAUUCAAAUUAAAUUGAUAGGAUCUGACCAAAAUAUGAAUAUCAUCUACUAAUGUUGAGAUUAUUAGGACUCAAAUAAUUUUUCGAUUUUUCGAUGUCAUCGCUUCUUUUCAUUCCCGACUGUUUAUUUAAACAUUUAUAUUUUCUAGAACGGAUUGGUUGUUCAAAUCAGUAAUUUACAUCACAGCAUAAUUAUCUCAUUGAAUGUUUAUAUAUAAUUAUAUAACCAAUUACCGAUAUACAAUCGUUACAAAUUAUUUUGUACAUAAUCAAUUGCGUGUAUACAUUAGCAUAUGGUAUCGGAAAUUAUCAAUCCUUCUUUAUAUAUCUUCAUUUCCGACAAUUAAAACAAAUCAUUUGUUUCUCCUGAUAUAUAAAAUUUUUUUAAACAUUAAAAUUUAUAUUUUGAACGAAGCUUAAAUAAGCAAACAUAAAUGUAGAAGUGCAAUAUUACGGUUGCUGAAGAAAUAUAAGAAAAUGCUUACUG